rnacentral:rRNA from 1 species
GGUGACAGGUGGUGCAUGGUUGUCGUCAGCUCGUGUCGUGAGAUGUUGGGUUAAGUCCCGCAACGAGCGCAACCCCUAUUGUUAGUUGCCAUCAUUCAGUUGGGCACUCUAGCGAGACUGCCGGUAAUAAACCGGAGGAAGGUGGGGAUGACGUCAAAUCAUCAUGCCCCUUAUGACCUGGGCUACACACGUGCUACAAUGGCUGGUACAACGAGUCGCAAGUCGGUGACGGCAAGCUAAUCUCUUAAAGCCAGUCUCAGUUCGGAUUGUAGGCUGCAACUCGCCUACAUGAAGUCGGAAUCGCUAGUAAUCGCGGAUCAGCACGCCGCGGUGAAUACGUUCCCGGGCCUUGUACACACCGCCCGUCACACCACGAGAGUUUGUAACACCCGAAGUCGGUGAGGUAACCUUUUAGGAGCCAGCCGCCUAAGGUGGGAUAGAUGAUUGGGGUGAAGUCGUAACAAGGUAGCCGUAUCGGAAGGUGCGGCUGGAUCACCUCCUUU